UAGGGAAUCUUCGGCAAUGGGGGGAACCCUGACCGAGCAACGCCGCGUGAGUGAAGAAGGUUUUCGGAUCGUAAAGCUCUGUUGUUAAGGAAGAACGAGUGUGAGAAUGGAAAGUUCAUACUGUGACGGUACUUAACCAGAAAGGGACGGCUAACUACGUGCCAGCAGCCGCGGUAAUACGUAGGUCCCGAGCGUUGUCCGGAUUUAUUGGGCGUAAAGCGAGCGCAGGCGGUUAGAUAAGUCUGAAGUUAAAGGCAGUGGCUCAACCAUUGUAGGCUUUGGAAACUGUUUAACUUGAGUGCAGAAGGGGAGAGUGGAAUUCCAUGUGUAGCGGUGAAAUGCGUAGUUAUAUGGAGGAUCACCGGUGGCGAAAGCGGCUCUCUGGUCUGUAACUGACGCUGAGGCUCGAAAGCGUGGGUAGCAAACAGG
rnacentral:rRNA from 1 species